rnacentral:rRNA from 1 species
UACGAAGGGGGCUAGCGUUGUUCGGAGUUACUGGGCGUAAAGGGCGCGUAGGCGGCCCUUCAAGUCGGGCGUGAAAGCCCACGGCUCAACCGUGGAAUUGCGCUCGAGACUGGAGAGCUCGAGGAUGGGAGAGGAUGGUGGAAUUCCGAGUGUAGAGGUGAAAUUCGUAGAUAUUCGGAAGAACACCAGUGGCGAAGGCGACUCACUGGACACGUAUUGACGCUGAGGUGCGAAAGCGUGGGGAGCAAACAGG